rnacentral:lncRNA from 1 species
CCUGAAGGGGGCGGUAGAGACCCUGCGCUCCUUGCUGCUCUUUUACCGCACAGAUUCAGACUCCCUUAGUAAUCUGGAGCUCUACACUCAGACUCUAGAGGGCGACACAGAGGCUCAGGAAACAGGCCCCAUGCAGGAAAUUGACAAGUAUGUCAGCAGAGCUUUGCAAGAGAAGAGACUACUGUACUUUGGGAUGGCAAACUUGGACUUUAAAUUCAGUGACCCGCCAAAAUAGGUCUCAGUCUCACUCUCUGUCCCCAUCGGGAUCUGUGGACACCCA